rnacentral:rRNA from 1 species
UGAUGGAAAGUUGAAAAGAACUUUGAAGAGAGGGUUCAAAAGUACGUGAAACCGCCCGGGCGAAAAACGGACGGGACCUCGAAGGCGACGCCCGGCGGAUUCAAUCGAACGCGACGGAGCGGCGCGGCGUGCCGAUCGCAAGGCGGCCGCAGCGUCCGAUCACCGACGCCGUUCGACGCACUUCCGUCGGGUGGCACGUCGCGACAGGCUUUCGGGCCGCCAGAGCACCGACGGGUAGUCGGUCGGACGGAUUCGUCCUUCGGCCGGCCCGUCGGCGUGUCGGCGUUCCCGAAGGCCGCGUACGAAAAGCACGACGGGGCCCGCGCCACGACGCGUCGGCGUCUCGCUCCGGCCGAGGCCCCGUGCGGCGCGACGAGUAGAUCGGCGACCCGUCCGACCCGUCUUGAAACACGGACCAAGGAGUCCAACAUGUGCGCGAGCGAUCGAGCGCCAAGAGACUCGAACGCGCAAUGAAAGCGAAGCAACGCCCGUGCGUUGUGCGGGGCGACGCCGCCACUUCGGCUGGCGGUCGCAGCCCCGGGACGCGCCGAUCGCAUCGUCGACGGCUCGUACCCGGAGCGUACACGUUGGGACCCGAAAGAUGGUGAACUAUGCCUGGCCAGGACGAAGUCGGAGGAAACUCUGAUGGAGGUCCGUAGCGAUUUUGACGUGCAAAUCAAUCGUCCGAGCUGGGUAUAGGGGCGAAAGACUAAUCGAACCAUCUAGUAGCUGGAUCCAUCCGAAGUUUCCCUCAGGAUAGCUGGCGCUCGCANGACCGAGUUUCAUCCGGUAAAGCGAAUGAUUAGAGGCCUUGGGGCCGAAACGANCUCAACCUAUUCUCAAACUUUAAAUGGGUGAGAAGUCGGGCUUGCUCGACUGAAGCACCGACCNUNGAAUCNAGAGUGCCAAGUGGGCCACUUUUGGUAAGCAGAACUGGCGCUGUGGGAUGAACCAAACGCAGAGUUAAGGUGCCCGAGAGAACGCUCAUCAGAUCCCAUGAAAGGUGUUGGUUGCUAUAGACAGCAGGACGGUGGCCAUGGAAGUCGGAA